rnacentral:rRNA from 1 species
AUGGGCUGCAGCAUGAGCCGGUUCGUCAAGGCGACGAUCGCAGUCGUCUUGCUCGUCAUGAUCUUCAUGUCCGGCGCAAUGGCGGCCACCAGCUUGGACGCCACCCGGAUCCAGCAGCUGCCAUUGGCGGACGGACUUCUCCAAGGGCCAGAGAGCGUCGCCUUCGACGCCCAAGNNCACGGCCCAUAUAGCGGCGUCUCCGACGGCCGCAUUCUCAGAUGGGACGGUGACAAGACAGGCUGGACCACUUACGCAUACGGCCCUGGCUACGACGAAGACAUGUGCACGGCUUCGAUAUUCCGCCCGGCAACUUCCACGGAGAGUCAGUGUGGCCGGCCGCUCGGGUUGCAGUUUCACCACAAGUCUGGGGAUCUAUACGUGGCCGACGCCUACAGGGGACUCAUGCGGGUUGGUCCUGGUGGCGGGGAAGCCACAGUAUUGGUCAGUGCGGUUGAUGAUAAACCUCUCCGCUUCACCAACGGGGUUGACGUCGACCAGGUCACCGGUCAAGUCUACUUCACUGAUAGUUCUAUGAACUAUGACAGGACGCAGCAUGAGAUGGUGACGAGAUCAGGGGAUUCAACGGGGCGUCUCAUGAGGUACGACCCACGUACCGGUGAUGUGGCGGUGCUUCAAACACGCCUGGCGUAUGCAAACGGCGUCGCUAUCAGCACCGACCGUACGCAUCUGAUUGUUGCGUCUACUGGGCCGUGCAAGUUGAUAAGGCACUGGAUCGAAGGGGCAAAGGCUGGGACGUCUGAGCCGUUUACCGAUCUCCCCGGCUACCCUGAUAACGUGAGGCCUGAUAGAAGGGGAGGUUACUGGGUGGCUUUACAUGGUGAGAAGAAUGAAUUGCCCUCUCGCCCCAAUAGCCAUCUGCUCGCUGUGAGGGUAGGAGCUGACGGCAAGAUACUUGAAGAGAUGAGGGGGUCCAAGCGUGUCAAGCCGGCGGAGGUAGUAGAAAGAGACAAUGGCAAGCUCUACAUAGGCUCUAUUGACUUGCCCUACGUCGGUGUAAUUACGCGCAACACAUCGAUGUGGUACCCACCGCUCUCGUCGCCACCGGCGCCUCCCAACGACGACGCCGAACUACGAUUUCAUCAUGGUCUCGAACUCAUCCAAGGUGAGCACCCCGUCUCCGUUGAGAUCCAACCUACGCACCAUGGCGCGGCGUCCCGGCUGGCGCCCAUCUCAGGCCCGCCGGCGAGAUGGUGCGAUGAGAAGCCCGUGUGCACGGCGCAGUUGGUGGUGCCACGGUACAGUCAAAAGAAGUUCACUGGGCCAAAACUGAAGUUCAAUUUUAAAUGGCACUCCGACUGGAAGGAGCUCCCCUCCCGCGUCGCUCCCGUGGGCGACCCAGGAGGAACCCUAGCCGCCACCGCAGCAGUCCCGCUCCCUUCCUCCUCCUCCCCCCGCCGCCGCCGGAGGGCGUUGCCGGGAAAAUCCCGCGCCGGCGGGGACGCUCUCCUCCUCUCGCUCGGAUGGCGCGGCGCGGGGACGCUCCACUGGCGGCGGGGGCUUGCGUGCGGCCUGGGGCGUGCGCCGGCGGUGGUGGCGCUUGGAGGUAGCGUGAGCGGCGCGGUGGCGCGGGCGACGGUGGUCUGGGUCAGCCGCAUCGAUCUGGGGGAGCUCCAUGCCCAGAUCUGGCUCCCCUUGAGCAGCGGCUCACUCGUCCUGCCGGUGCUCCCGGUGGCCGUGUCCGGAGGAUGA